rnacentral:lncRNA from 1 species
AAUAUCAGUGCAAUCACAUUACAUAGUGAGAAAUAAUUGCAAGAAGUACACCGCUGAACAAGCCUUGGUUGAGGCUUACAGAAGGAAGCAUAAUUAGAAGCCUUGGAUAAAACUCUAGAGACGAUAACUGAUGACAAUACCCAUCCAACAAAGACAAAUUCUGACCAAUCCAACCCAUGGGUAAUUAAACCGUCUUUCCUAGAAAGAUUUGCCAAGAUGAAAAAAGAAAAUGAGGAGAAGGAGAUUUUAGAAACAUUCCGUAAGUUUGAGGUGAACCUU